AGCGAACGCUGGCGGCAGGCCUAACACAUGCAAGUCGAACGGACCCGUCGGGGUUAGUGGCGGACGGGUGGGGAACCCGUGGGAACGUUCCCGUAGGUUCGGAAUAGCUCCUGGAAACGGGUGGUAAUGCCGAAUGUGUCCUUCUGGGGAAAGAUUUAUCGACUUUUGAGCGGGCCGCGUCUGAUUUGCUAGUUGGUGAGGUAACGGCUCACCCAGGCGGCGAUCAGUAGCUGGUCUGAGAGGAUGACCCGCCACACUGGGAAUGAGACACGGCCGAGACUCCUACGGGAGGCAGCAGUGGGGAAUCUUGCGCAAUGGGCGAAAGCAUGACGCAGCCAGGCCGCGUGAAUGAUGAAGGUCUUAGGAUUGUAAAAUUCUUUCACCGGGGACGAUAAUGACGGUACCCGGAGAAGAAGCCCCGGCUAACUUCGUG
rnacentral:rRNA from 1 species